rnacentral:rRNA from 1 species
UACGGGGGGAGCAAGCGUUGUUCGGAUUUACUGGGCGUAAAGGGCGCGUAGGCGGCGCAACAAGUCACUUGUGAAAUCUCCGGGCUUAACCCGGAGCGGUCAAGUGAUACUGUCGUGCUAGAGUGCGGAAGGGGCUACUGGAAUUCUCGGUGUAGCGGUGAAAUGCGUAGAUAUCUGGAGGAACACCGGUGGCGAAGGCGGCAUCCUGGACCGACACUGACGCUGAGGGAGCGAAAAGCCAGGGGAGCAAACGGG